CUUUCAUAUUUUGUUUCACUGUGAAUAUUAUAAAAAUUAAUGCUUUGUCCAGAAAUUUUACUACCCAUUUGAAUUUAGUAAUGUCUAGUCACAAGAGGGGCAUCGUUGGAAUUUUAUGAUAAGUAAAAGUGCAAUAAUUGUACGUUCAUCACCAGCUCAGAUGACUUUCAUACAAAAACCUUAUUAUAUAAAGCUCAUGAAACACAUGAAAAUAAAAGUAGCAAAAUUUAUCUCUUUCUCUUACUAGCUCUUCUUCAUCACCUUUAAACGUUGGUCGCUCAACUGGUUCAUGGAUAUUGAUCCCUUCUGGAUUACGGGGGGUGGUGUUAUUAUUCUUUAUUUCUUAAACCAUUUUCAUGGCUGCAGCUACCAAAUUUUUCCUCAUGCUGGUUUUCGUAUUCAUUCUUAGCUUCAAUAAUAUUAAUCCUCUCUUUGCUCGUCCAAUAGAUUAUCCAGUGUCUUCUUAUAUCUCAACAAGACAUCUCCUGUUUCAUAAUUCUCCUUCAACAACACAGUCUUUGAAUCCACACCCCACAAACCCUAAAACUUCAACCUCUUCUUCUUUCCCUACUGCUGCUGCUGCUGCUACCACUGCUCCAGAUCGACAGUUUAGAGCAGCUGCACAUGAAGUUCCUAGCGGCCCAAAUCCUGAAUCCAACUACGAGUAGGCUGAGUUAUUUGUCAUAUUGUGUGGAAAAUUAUUCAGCGGGGAUGUGGAGUUUUGCAUUUGUCUUACUGUGGAACACAUGGCCUGAGAAAUCUGACAGAAAAAAGACAAGAUAUGAUUUCAUAAUCAUAAUAUAUAGUUAAAAUCCUCUUUCCUAAUGAUAUAAACAAUUAUGAUUAAUCAUCCAUGUGAAUAUACGUGUUAAAUUUCUACUUUCAGAACCUAAGCAAUAUACCUGUAUUUUCACAUGUCUGACUGUCUAGUACAUUAGUACUGGUAAGUCAAAAAUAUUAUCUAGCUAGAACAAUUGGAAUGCUUUCAGUAAUCAAACAAUAUAUGUGGCCUAAGGGCAGCUUGACUGGUCAUAGCUUGUGAAAUCCCCAAGUAGGAAGGCUUGAGUUGUAGACUGGACGAGGUUAUGUCUCCUUGACUUACCAGCUGCAGUGCAACUAAAACCACUCUCAGGACUGCAGAUAUUCCCGUGAUUAGAAUCAUUGAAUGUCGAAAGUAGUUAGUUGUAUUUUGAAAAAAUCAGAAGCAGGGCAUAAAUGUAUGUAUGUAUGUAUCAUCAACCAGAUUAUGUUUCCUUGGUAGUAAUAUUAUGCAUCAUCAAGAUCAGGGGAAUCUUUCACUGCAUUUUUGGGUGCAGUAAUUUUAAAGAUGAAGACAAUUUCUAAUGAAUCCCACAAUCCCAUCUAAGAAAUUUAUGUUUCCACUUGCUUCAUGGCGAUAUUAAUUGAUAUUUUUUUACUGGAA